rnacentral:rRNA from 1 species
GGUGGAAAAUGCAAGAUUAAUUGGAAUCUCGUCUGCAAACCUAAACAGUUUGGUGGCCUAGGCGUGCUCAAUCUGGACAAAUUCGCUAAGGCCCUCCGUCUUCGAUGGCUUUGGUUUGAGUGGGUGGACAAAAGCAAGCCUUGGAUAGGCAUGGGAUCUCCAUGCACCGGAGACGACCGUAUCUUUUUUGGUGCUGCUACAACAGUUACAGUUGGAAACGGGCGCACAACAAGAUUCUGGAACUCGCCAUGGUUAAAUGGUUUGUGCCCCCGUGACUUAGCACCAAGCAUCUUUGCCAUUUCACGCAACAAGAAUUCCUCCGUCCAGCAAGCCCUUGCCAACAACAACUGGAUUUCUCUCAUUGACACCUCCAAUGGCUUGUCGCUCAUGUUCAACAGUUUGCUAACCUCUGGGAGAAUAUUUCCAUGA